ACAAAGGCUCUUUUAAGGGCCGCCCUCAUAAUCUGUAAAAGAGCA
rfam:Astyanax mexicanus Tnplaced_Scaffold_398, whole genome shotgun sequence.